UGCCCCAGUAACGGCGAGUGAAGCGGCAAGAGCUCAAAUUGAAAGCUGGCUCCUUCGGGGUCCGCAUUGUAAUUUGCAGAGGAUGCUUCGGGAGCGGUCCCCAUCUAAGUGCCCCGGAACGGGACGUCAUAGAGGGUGAGAAUCCCGUAUGGGAUGGGGUGUCCGCGCCCGUGUGAAGCUCCCUUCGACGAGUCGAGUUGUUUGGGAAUGCAGCUCUAAAUGGGUGGUAAAUUUCAUCUAAAGCUAAAUAUUGGCCGGAGACCGAUAGCGCACAAGUAGAGUGAUCGAAAGAUGAAAAGCACUUUGAAAAGAGAGUUAAAAAGCACGUGAAAUUGUUGAAAGGGAAGCGCUUGCGACCAGACUCGCUCGCGGGGUUCAGCCGGCAUUCGUGCCGGUGUAUUUCCCCGCGGGCGGGCCAGCGUCGGUUUGGGUGGUCGGUCAAAGGCCCUCGGAAGGUAACGCCCCCUCGGGGGCGUCUUAUAGCCGAGGGUGCAAUGCGACCUACCCGGACCGAGGAACGCGCUUCGGCUCGGACGCUGGCAUAAUGGUCGUAAGCGACCCGUCUUGAAACACGGACCAAGGAGUCUAACAUCUACGCGAGUGUUCGGGUGUCAAACCCGUGCGCGCAGUGAAAGCGAACGGAGGUGGGAACCCUUUUGGGUGCACCAUCGACCGAUCCUGAUGUCUUCGGAUGGAUUUGAGUAAGAGCGUAGCUGUUGGGACCCGAAAGAUGGUGAACUAUGCCUGAAUAGGGCGAAGCCAGAGGAAACUCUGGUGGAGGCUCGCAGCGGUUCUGACGUGCAAAUCGAUCGUCGAAUUUGGGUAUA
rnacentral:rRNA from 1 species